CCUGGGGACGAAGGUUCGCUGUAGCACCUUGAGCGCCAUGAUACAAACACUUCUGAAAACAGCAACUGGACUCUCCAGGAGACACAAAGGGGAAUUCCUCCAUUGGAUGGGGAUCCAGCUACAUGUUCCUUUUUAAGAUGCUGUCUUCCAAUGCAGCCACGUUCUGAUAUACUGGGGACCAGGACGUCAGCCUAGGAGGUUGGAGGGACACAGCUCAGUCGAUGUAAGAACCGCAGUGGUAAGGUGCCCGUGGCUCUGAGGGCUAGGAUGGAAAAGAAUCAAGACUGAAGGCCGAUUUGGCAGACAACAAGCCCACGUUCUGAAACUAUGUUAAAAUGACCCCGAUCAAAAGAUGAGUACUAAAAACAGACUCUGCGAAAUCAACUCCCAUGCCUUCCUUCAAGCUCUCCAUGGAGAAAUAGCUGAAGGGGGAAAUUAACCAGAGGAGCCCGCCUGCUGAUGCGGG